rnacentral:rRNA from 1 species
AUUGAACGCUGGCGGCAGGCCUAACACAUGCAAGUCGAGCGAGCGGCGGACGGGUGAGUAAGGUCUGGGAAACUGCCUGAUAGAGGGGGAUAACUACUGGACACGGUAGCUAAUACCGCAUACCAUCAGAUGUGCCCAGAUGGGAUUAGCUCGUAGGUGGGGUAACGGCUCACCUAGGCGACGAUCCCUAGCGGGUAUGAGAGGAUGACGCGCCACACUGGAACUGAGAUACGGUCCAUACUCCUACGGGACGCAUCGGUGGGGAAUAGUGCACAAUGGGCGCAAGCCUAACGCGGCCAUGCCGCGUGUGUGAAGAGGGCCUUCGGGUUGUAAAGCCCUUUCAGCGUGGAGGCGUUACCCGCAGAAGAAGCACCGGCUAACUCCGUGCCAGCAGCCGCGGUAAUAC